GGCGGCUAGCUCAGUUGGUUAGAGCGCCGUGCUCACACGGCGGAGGUCACAGGUUCGAAUCCCGAUAAAAAGUCGCCCACA
rnacentral:tRNA from 1 species